GUAUGGAUGGUCACGGACCAGGCUUCAUCAUCCUCUGCUAGGACCUAUAAAGCGAAUUUAGUGAUCUGUUCAUAGCCGCAAAACCAGGUCAUGAAACGUUGAUAGAAAAGGCAGAUCCAUGGCGAAUCAAAUGGACAACACUUCCGGGUCUGCGUCUAUGCGAACAAACAAAGGUCAAGUCUAAAAAUUCGAGCUUCACCAGAUCUGAGCUUGCGAAGAUGUAAAAAAGCGAAACUUGUUCAUACCUGCAAAACCAGGUCGAUACUGGGGAAUACGGUCGUGAAGCUUUGACUGAAAAGGCAGCCUGCCUCUUAGUAUGGAUGGUCACGGACCAGGCUUCAUCAUCCUCUGCUAGGACCUAUAAAGCGAAUUUAGUGAUCUGUUCAUAGCCACAAAACCAGGUCAUGAAACGUUGAUAGAAAAGGCAGAUCCAUGGCGAAUCAAAUGGACAACACUUCCGGGUCUGCGUCUAUGCGAACAAACAAAGGCCAAGUCUAAAAAUUCGAGCUUCACCAGAUCUGAGCUUGCGAAAAUGUAAAAAAGCGAAACUUGUCCAU
rnacentral:lncRNA from 1 species